rnacentral:misc_RNA from 1 species
UACGGAGGGUGCAAGCGUUAUCCGGAAUCAUUGGGUUUAAAGGGUCCGUAGGCGGGUUUGUAAGUCAGUGGUGAAAGUCUGCAGCUUAACUGUAGGACUGCCAUUGAUACUGCAUACCUUGAGUAAUUAUGAAGUGGUUAGAAUAUGUAGUGUAGCGGUGAAAUGCAUAGAUAUUACAUAGAAUACCGAUUGCGAAGGCAGAUCACUAACAAUAUACUGACGCUGAUGGACGAAAGCGUAGGUAGCGAACAGG